rnacentral:misc_RNA from 1 species
AAGUCGUAACAAGGUUUCCGUAGGUGAACCUGCGGAAGGAUCAUUACAGAGUUCAUGCCCUCACGGGUAGAUCUCCCACCCUUGAAUAUAUUACCUCUUGUUGCUUUGGCGGGCCGCCUAGUCCACUGGCUUCGGCUAGUGAGUGCCCGCCAGAGGUUAACAAACUCUGAUUUAUAGUGUCGUCUGAGUACUAUAUAAUAGUUAAAACUUUCAACAACGGAUCUCUUGGUUCUG